ensembl:snoRNA
UGCGAGGGUGAUGAGUUGCACUGUGGUGGAGCAAUCAUGUCAGGUGACAUGGACUCUGCUCAGAAUCUCCCUGAUGACAAAACUAAGUGCACAGGGGCCAUCUGACUCGCU